GGGCGUAAAAGCGCGCGUAGGCCGUUGAGUUAGUUAAUUGUGAAAUCCCAAAGCUUAACUUUUAGAACUGCAAUUAAAACUGCUCGACUAGAGUUUGAUAGAGGAAAGCGGAAUACAUAGUGUAGAGGUGAAAUUCGUAGAUAUUAUGUAGAACACCAGUUGCGAAGGCGGCUUUCUGGAUCAACACUGACGCUGAGGCGCGAAAGUAUGGGUAGCAAAGAGGAUUAGAUACCCUCGUAGUCCAUACCAUAAACGAUGAUUGCUAGAUGUUGGAAAUUUAUUUUCAGUAUCGCAGCUAACGCAUUAAGCAAUCCGCCUGGGGAGUACGACCGCAAGGUUAAAACUCAAAUGAAUUGACGGGGACCCGCACAAGCGGUGGAGCAUGUGGUUUAAUUCGAAGAUACGCGCAGAACCUUACCAACCCUUGACAUGUCUGUCGCGAGUUUAGGAAACUAGACUUUUCGGUUCGGCCGGACAGAACACAGGUGCUGCAUGGCUGUCGUCAGCUCGUGUCGUGAGAUGUUGGGUUAAGUCCCGCAACGAGCGCAACCCCUACUUUUAGUUGCCAUCAGGUCAUGCUGGGCACUCUGAAAGAACUGCCAGUGAUAAGCUGGAGGAAGGUGGGGAUGACGUCAAGUCCUCAUGGCCCUUACGGGUUGGGCUACACACGUGCUACAAUGGUAGUGACAAUGAGAUGCAAAGUGGCGACGCUAAGCUAAACUCAAAAAUCUACCUCAGUUCGGAUUGCACUCUGCAACUCGAGUGCAUGAAGCUGGAAUCGCUAGUAAUCGUAGAUCAGCGUGCUACGGUGAAUACGUUCCCGGGUCUUGUACACACCGCCCGUCACACCAUGGAAGUUGGUUCUACCUUAAAGCAGAUUGCUAACCGCAAGGAGGCGUUUGACCAAGGUAUAGUC
rnacentral:rRNA from 1 species